GUCCACGCUGUAAACGAUGUCGACUUGGAGGUUGUUCCCUUGAGGAGUGGCUUCCGGAGCUAACGCGUUAAGUCGACCGCCUGGGGAGUACGGCCGCAAGGUUAAACUCAAAUGAAUUGACGGGGCCGGCACAAGCGGUGGAGCAUGUGGUUUAAUUUCGAUGCAACGCGAAGAACCUUACCUACUCUUGACAUCCACGGAAUUUAGCAGAGAUGCUUUAGUUGCCUUCGGGAACCGUGAGACAGGUGCUGCAUGGCUGUCGU
rnacentral:rRNA from 1 species